UGGGGAAUAUUGGACAAUGGGCGCAAGCCUGAUCCAGCCAUACCGCGUGGGUGAAGAAGGCCUUCGGGUUGUAAAGCCCUUUUGUUGGGAAAGAAAUCCAGCCGGCUAAUACCUGGUUGGGAUGACGGUACCCAAAGAAUAAGCACCGGCUAACUUCGUGCCAGCAGCCGCGGUAAUACGAAGGGUGCAAGCGUUACUCGGAAUUACUGGGCGUAAAGCGUGCGUAGGUGGUCGUUUAAGUCCGUUGUGAAAGCCCUGGGCUCAACCUGGGAACUGCAGUGGAUACUGGGCGACUAGAGUGUGGUAGAGGGUAGCGGAAUUCCUGGUGUAGCAGUGAAAUGCGUAGAGAUCAGGAGGAACAUCCAUGGCGAAGGCAGCUACCUGGACCAACACUGACACUGAGGCACGAAAGCGUGGGGAGCAAACAGGAUUAGAUACCCUGGUAGUCCACGCCCUAAACGAUGCGAAGCUGGAUGUUGGGUGCAAUUUGGCACGCAGUAUCGAAGCUAACGCGUUAAGUUCGCCGCCUGGGGAGUACGGUCGCAAGACUGAAACUCAAAUG
rnacentral:rRNA from 1 species